rnacentral:misc_RNA from 1 species
GAUGAAGAACGCAGCGAAAUGCGAUAAGUAAUGCGAAUUGCAGAAUCCGUGAGUCAUCGAAUCUUUGAACGCACAUUGCGCCCGCCAGUAUUCUGGCGGGCAUGCCUGUCCGAGCGUCAUUUCAACCCUCGAGCCCCUCCGGGGGGUCGGCGUUGGGGAUCGGCCCUCCCUCGCGGGGGCCGGCCCCGAAAUGCAGUGGCGGUCUCGCCGCAGCCUCUCAUGCGCAGUAGUUUGCACAACUCGCACCGGGAGCGCGGCGGGCCCACGCCGUAAAACAGCCCAACCUUCUGAAAUGUUGACCUCGGAUCAGGUAGGAAUACCCGCUGAACUUAAGCAUAUCAAUAAGCGGAGGA